GCAGUGGCGCUACAUCCGGGCACUGGGGCAGGAUGAAUGCUCCUUUCCAAGAUGGCGGCGGAGGGAGGAGGGAAGGAGAUGAACGAGAUUAAGACCCAGUUCACCACCCGGGAGGGGCUGUACAAGCUGCUGAGCCACUCGGAGUACAGCCGGCCUAACCGGGUGCCCUUCAACUCGCAGGGCUCUAACCCGGUCCGCGUUUCCUUCGUCAACGUCAACGACCAGAGCGGCAACGGGGACCGGCUCUGUUUCAAUGUGGGCCGGGAGCUCUACUUCUACAUCUACAAGGGGGUCCGCAAGGCUGCGGACUUGAGUAAACCAAUAGACAAAAGGAUAUACAAAGGAACACAACCUACAUGCCAUGACUUCAAUCACUUAACGGCCACAGCAGAAAGCGUGUCUCUUCUAGUGGGCUUCUCUGCAGGCCAGGUCCAACUUAUAGACCCUAUUAAAAAAGAAACUAGCAAAUUAUUUAAUGAGGAAAGACUAAUAGACAAGUCCAGAGUAACCUGUGUAAAAUGGGUACCGGGUUCGGAAAGCCUUUUCCUAGUAGCUCAUUCCAGUGGCAAUAUGUACUUGUAUAACGUGGAGCACACUUGUGGUACCACAGCCCCGCACUACCAGCUACUUAAACAAGGAGAAAGUUUUGCAGUUCACACUUGCAAGAGUAAAUCCACAAGAAACCCUCUGCUUAAAUGGACAGUAGGUGAGGGUGCCCUGAAUGAGUUUGCCUUUUCCCCAGAUGGGAAGUUCUUGGCAUGUGUGAGCCAGGAUGGUUUUCUUCGUGUGUUUAACUUUGAUUCAGUGGAAUUGCAUGGUACAAUGAAAAGUUACUUUGGAGGACUGCUGUGUGUGUGUUGGAGUCCUGAUGGGAAAUACAUAGUGACAGGUGGAGAGGAUGACUUGGUAACAGUUUGGUCUUUCGUGGACUGUCGAGUAAUAGCCAGAGGCCAUGGACAUAAAUCGUGGGUCAGUGUUGUUGCGUUUGAUCCAUAUACCACUAGUGUAGAAGAGAGUGACCCGAUGGAAUUUAGCGGAAGUGAUGAGGAUUUCCAAGACCUUCAUUUUGGCAGAGAUCGAGCAAAUAGUACGCAAUCUAGGCUGUCCAAAAGGAACUCUACAGACAGUCGUCCAGUAAGUGUUACAUACAGAUUUGGUUCAGUAGGCCAGGACACACAGCUGUGUUUGUGGGAUCUUACAGAAGAUAUCCUCUUUCCCCACCAACCUCUCUCAAGAGCAAGGACACAUACAAAUGUCAUGAAUGCCACAAGUCCACCUGCUGGAAGUGGUGGAACUAACCCAGGAAGUAAUGGAAACAGUAUCACAACACCUGGAAACUCUGUACCCCCUCCUCUUCCACGGUCAAACAGCCUUCCACACUCUGCAGUCUCAAAUGCUGGCAGUAAAAGCAGUGUCAUGGAUGGUGCCAUUGCUUCUGGCGUUAGUAAAUUUGCAACCUUGUCACUACACGAUCGGAAGGAAAGACACCAUGAAAAAGAUCACAAGAGAAAUCAUAGCAUGGGACAUAUAUCUAGCAAGAGCAGUGACAAACUGAACCUAGUUACUAAAACCAAAACGGACCCAGCUAAAACUUUGGGAACACCUCUCUGUCCCCGAAUGGAAGAUGUUCCCUUGUUAGAGCCUCUUAUCUGUAAAAAGAUAGCACAUGAAAGACUGACUGUGUUAAUUUUUCUUGAAGACUGUAUAGUCACUGCUUGUCAGGAGGGAUUUAUUUGCACAUGGGCAAGGCCGGGUAAAGUGGUAAGUUUUAAUCCUUAAUGCUGCAUCAAAGAACUAGAACUCUGAAUAGGUAGUUUUCUUGAAAUAUAAAUGAAUGUUGAAUAUAAAAUUUCUUUAUGCUUAAUGUAAAAAAAAAAAAAUCCUCAGAGCCAUACUUUUGGAUACUGCAUGCCAUAUUUCUGAAUGAUUUGAAGUGUCUUGGAUACAAUUAUUAAGUAUAGUUGCCUUCCAGCAGAAGAAAUAAAUACUGUGCAUCUAAACUAUUGAUCAGUGUUCUUAUACUUAAACAUAACCACAAUAUGGUGAAAGCUAUUUAUGUAAAAAUUGAAGUAAAACCUGUCAAUCACUAAAAUAAUUAUAAUCCUUCUAAUGUUUUCUAGAAAAUACAGCACUCCCAAUGAGUAGCUUGUGAAAAGCUGCUGCUUUUAAGUCUAAUGUGAAAUGUGAGCCUCUGAAAAAAUUAAAACCAAAGUGUUUUAUUCCUCCAUACUUUUCUGUGGUGGCCUGCCAUUAAUGUAAAACCACUUCUUACGAAGACAUUAGCCAUUUUAUGCACAGAAUUGUGCGCCCUUUACUGACUGCAGUUUGUGCUCUUGAAAUUGUAUUAUCCAAGGAACUCUAAUUUUAGCUAGGUCUUGCUUUAUGUAUUUCUUAAGUUAGGGAAAACCAUGCAAGCUUUCUCUUAAGUAGUUUCAGUGCUAUAUUGCUGUCAGUUUUGUUAGGCAACUCGAUCAUUGACAAGCUCAUGCUUUUGGAUGGCACCUGUUCUAUCAGUUGAACCUUCAUUAAAAUAUAUUACUAGUUUUAACUGUUGUUGUUAAUGCACUUGAACACAGAUAAAACUUUAUUUUUCUUCUGUCCAGUGUAUAGCAAGCUAAAUUUUGAAUGAAGCUUAACAUGGUGAUUAUUUCAUUAAAAAGUACUUUGUGCUACAGUAGCUUUGUUUGUCAGUAACAUUUUAAAGAAGCGCAGCUAUAACAACAUUACCAGAAUUGAUCUAGUAAAAAAGAACCAUUAUUUUUGUGAAAAAUUUCUGAAAGGGUAUGUAGGUUAUCACCUGAAGAAAAAGAAAUAAUCUGGCAAUACCUGAAUAUUGCCACAUUGGGCAACCUAAAUGAAAGUCUGAUGUUCAUUAGGUUUUAACAGUUUGGUUCGUAAAUCUGACUUCCAAAGUGGAGGUACUGUAUAUAUUUAUAUACCACGUCUUCAUUGCUAUAAACUUUGAAGUAAAAAAUAAUAUUUCUUAAAACUGUUUAUAAUUUUCUUUGAGAUGUUAUAAGAUUUGUCACAACAUAGGUAUGCGUAGAGAGCUAUGUCCUGUCUGCAUCUUAAUGCAUAUUUACAGGUUGAAUCUAAAACUAAAAAAAUGUAAACCCUUUUCUUGGGAGAAGGGAGGAGGGUGUUACCUAAAAGUAUUUUUUUGUUUAAGAACUACAGAUCCAGCAUCAAUUUAAAAAAACAACAACACUCCUCUAAAACACUAAACUAUUUAAAAUGUUUGUCCUAAAUGAAAAUACUAAAGCAGUUAUCACUUCUGUCACUCGGUGCAAUUCACGUCUUAUGAAUUAACUUUAUACGUGUACAGCAGUGCCUCAGAUUUCUAUUGUGACCUACAUUGUCUUUUUGUUUUAAAAGUACUCCUUUGCGUACUACUAAACACUACGCUGUUAAAUUUAUUUUCAGUGGCUGAGGUGGGUUUUGUUAGACUGGGUGUAACGUAAACAUUUUUGUGUAUUGACUUUGAUUUGGAAUAUGACAUUUCAAAUAUUUCAGAGAUAAAGUAUGCAGUACCAAAAAUCAGGAUUUAUGUAUUGGCCAAUAUGGAAAACUUUAAUUACAGUCCUUAGGUGGUCUUACGCUAUCACACUGUGCUGAACAAACGGCCACAGUGAAAGCUGUUAACCUGCCGUACUUUAAAGAAAGUUGAUUGCAUCCUGUAACCUGCUCUGAGUAAAUGUUUCACUUCAUCUCAAGACGGUGCACACGUUUUGAUGGUGAAAUCUUGCUGAUAAGGUCAUUUCUCAUUAUACUUAAUUUUUUAGGACUAGAGUUAUAUGAAAUAGCAUACUUGUCAAACUUACUUAGAUUCAGUAAAACACUGACACGAAUGUAUCUAGAUUUUCUCUGCCUACCUGUCAAGCGGGAGCUGAGGCAGAGCGUUGUCAUUCCUUCUAGGACUCUACAGGAGCUCUUUCCUCUGCGGACCCUGGUGCAGGGUCAUGUUCUUUAUUCCAGCUUUAGAUUGUGACAUUUACCUAAUGAAUGCUGAAUUUACAGCCACGAGGAUAUGGCUUACACGGAUGAUUCAGGCAUUUUCUGUCUAGAAAAAUGAUGGCUAGUCUAGAACUAAACUUGCCUGAACUGAAACUAAAAAACUUGGGCUGCAAAAUUUCUUGGAACCUGUUUAGGUGAAGACGUAAGAUGUUGCCCUUCCAUCUGAGUGGUUAGGGAUUGUCACCCUUGCAGCAGUGGCUGGGUGUUAACUGAUGAAGGACAUACAUCAACGGACAAUCAAUCCACACAUACAAUCAAGGACAGACAAACAAAUAAUAUUUACUGAAGUGUUUCAAAGGCACUUUUGAGAAAUUUCAGUGAAAAAGUCUAACCAAGGUAGGACUCUGUCUCUUAGGCAGAAAUAACUGUGUAGACUAAAGCUGAGGAAGUCAUCUUUCUUACGUGAACUUGGAAACUUUCUGGUACUUCAGUAGGUAUUGAUUGACCACUAUAUGUGUGUGAUUAUAUAUAUAUAGAUAUAUAUAUAUAUAACAGAUAUGUAUAUUUAAGAACAGGUGCCAGUGGAGGAACAAAGUGAAAUCCGUCCUGAAAACUUCUGGCAACAUCCAGUUACAUCAAAUGAUGCAAGAACUGGUUGGUAAAACCAGUUUCUCAACAGUCAGUGUAAGCAUGAAACAAAACUAAUUUCCACAGGUUCUGUGGUCAUAGGAGUCUUUGGCAAAAGGUGUCUUGAAACUGAAAAUGUCAUCUUGCUUGUCUUUAAUAAUGUUGCACACACUUCUCAAGGAAAUGACUUGUAUUGUCACAUUAUUUUCUGGCUUUUGAAGUUGGACUUUAGGUAGGUGCUGAUCAAUCUUCUCAAAUUCAUUUGGCUCAUUUCUUCUUCUGUUAAGACUAACCCAAAUGGGGUUGCCUUAAGUCAUAUGCUUUCCCCUGAGGUUUCCCUGGUUUAACUCAAUAUCAUUAUUUUCUAAUCUGAACGUUUUAAGCCUUACCAACUUCUGUAGCUUCAGGAAGCUAGAGAAACAACUGUUCCUAAGCAUGUGAGCCCUUACAACCUAAAUGGAUCUUAAGUUCCUAUUGCUCGAGUGAGAUCGGGGUUCUGCUUGCAAAAGCCUUUUUUUGCUUUUCCCAGCACACAGGCAGUUGCAUCUUAAUUUUUUUGUUUGUUUGUUUUCUUUUGAACACACGUAUCUUCCAUUUGCCGAUCAUACACUAGUCUUGAAGUAAUCUUGCCUAAUACCACUAGGCAGAUCUUUAGUUAGUUUUAGUCUGCUGGUUUUCUAGCAGCCUUGCAUUUUCUUUUUGUUGACAAUGAGUAAAAUGGUGAUACAACUCUGUAAGGAGAACUCCUUUAUGUACCCAGAAGAGAAGUUGCAAGUGAAACCUCCUUGAUGCUACUAUAUGCGUUUACAUGAUCUGGUGUCAAAUGGUUUAAGCGUUUAUACCUUUCUGUAACAUAGAACAAAGAAAAGGGAAAAAAAAAAAAGGCAAAUGGAAGACAAAUAAUACGUUUAAAAUUCUGUUUAGUGAACAUCUAGACUGUGUAAAGAUAGGUAUCAGCUUUGCUGUAUCCCCCUAAAUCCCAUACAGAAUAUCUCUCUGUAAUGUGUUACAUGAAUGUUCAGCAUGUGCUUCCUUGAACAUUCUCAAUUAAUUCUGAUUGCAUUAGAGAUUAAUACCUGAUUUAGUGAGUAUGUGCUGUUUGGAGACUGACGCUAAUAAAUGCUGAUUCAUUUGGAUAAGAAACUGCUGGAAAUUUUGUUCAUGCAAAUCUUAAAACCAAUUCAGGUGAUUUGACUACAGAAUUUUAAAGAAAAGUGAAAAGUCUCGUUCCGUUCUGGUGUAUUAUUAUUGCUCAAAUACCGUAUUGGACCGUGGGCUCUUCUGUCAGGCGAAGGGCUCAGUCCAGAUCACUUUGUCAAAUGACUCCAGGAAUAUCCCAGUUCUGGACAAGAAUAAACUACCCAUGGAAUAUUCUGCAGAUAAUAAAUACCCAUUAUUUCAUGUACUGGUUAUAGCAGAAAUGGUUUAACAAAUCGGUGCCACUUUUGUAUGGGCAGUUGUUAAAUCAGCCUUUUUUUUUUUUAAUUGGUUGAGUUGCAUUAGUGAAGUGUACUAUGAGACUUUCUUCCCCGCCCCCGGCAUUUGUUGGUUGUUACAUUGGACCCUUUGCUUUGUAUUUCCUACCUUUCCAUUUCAAAACAGAAGGUAGGAGAGAUGUGAGGAGUUCUGACGUCCAGCGAGUUACAGGGAGACAGCUGAGCUGUUUUACCGAAGGAGCGAAGGCUGAGUGUGUGCCAAGAGCAUCGUGAAGCAGCACCCAGACAUUAACCUCCAGGUCCUGCUUACAUGUCCAGACUCGCAGUUUAUUGUCUAGAUCAGUAAAACUACGCAUGAUUGCAUCUUUGGCUCCAAUUAAUCCUGUCUAAUUUAAAUGAAGAAAAUACUAACUUGGUAGUUACUGAGGGCUUUUUUCAUACUUAGUAGUAUGUUCCUAUGCUUUUUUUUUUUUUAAAUACAGCAAUUAUGUGCUGAUCCUCCAUAGAAUUAGUUUCUUCUGUGAAACUGUGUUUCAUAUCUUUUGGCUGGAGCAUGUCUGAAAUACGUAAAAAAAAACCCCAGACCCCCCUGCAAUCUCAUGAAUUGUGAGGAGGGUUGGUCUUAACGCUGUUGCGGGUCUUUCUGACCAGACCACAGCUAUGAGUGCCAUGAACCUGGGGUGGAAAUGACCUUACUGGUCGUAUUUGUUACGGCUUUUCAUUCCUUCCCACACGAGCCUAUCUUUACCAAAUACAUGAAGUCCUGUGUGUUGGGAAGUCAGAGAACGCACAGAUAAAUAUGGAAUAGCCCUAGCAACUCGUGCUGAAACGGGCUUUUCACUGCUCUCACAUUGCUAACUGAUGCAAGAAAAAUGAUACUGACCUCUGCAGAAGAGGCACGUUUCGGCCACGUUCCAUGGAGAUGGCAGAUGAGGUAGCACCUACUUGGAGGUCCCUCUCGGAGGUUGCGAUGAAGAUUGUUUUAUCAGAUUCCUGACUUGAGUCUCGUAACUGUUCCACUUCCCACCCCCUGCUAGACCCACAUGCUGACAAAAUCAGGCUAUUAAUAAAAGACUGCAUUUAUUUUCAAAACUUUUUGGAACAGUUUCUUAAUCUGUUUCUGCUGCUUGCUCAGUGCGAUCUGUUUGGUUUUAAGCUUUCAGCUGGUGCACUGUAGGGCACAGCACAUCUGCAGUUGUUGCAUCUUGAUUCUUUCGUGUUUUCUGUCACAGCUGUUAAACUGUGCAGCUUUGCUGUCGCGCUGAUAAGUUGCUGCAGCUUUUGUUCCACCUGGAUGACUAGACUGGGUGGUUUCAUGACAGAAAGCACUGCACUGAUUUCUUUAUUAUUUCUUUACAGGCAGGAGCUUUCUGUAUUUUUUUUCAUGACCUUUUCUAUUGUGUUACUCCCAGAGAAUGCAACUACAAAUAUUCUAGUCCCACACCCUUUGUAUUACAGAUCAGACUCUUACAGGGUAACUUUUUUUGAGCUGUCACUUGCUUUCUAAUGAGUCUUUUUAAAGUUUCCUAUGUUACACCAACUGCUUAAGUGGCCUUGCUUGAAAGGCUGUGAUAUAAUGGCAAAAUUUUAGAAAAUCUUUGUUACUUGGGACCCACAGAGAACACGCACCACUUUGGUAAAACUUCUGUGCCUAAAACCCAAAUUCCUAUUCUUGCUUUUCUUGUAUGAACAUCUAAGGUCUAAGAUGUCUUGUGAAAUUAAGUAUGUGGAAGAACUCACAAAAUUUCUGCUCUCUCCCACAGAAGUGAAGUUGUGGAAUGGCCAUUGUAGCCUGGUAAAGUUUUAAGGCAGUACUUGAAAAUUUUUGAGACGUCUGUCUGCAGUAGCACAAGGAUAUUGAUCUUGAGAUCUUUUCCACUUUGGUGUUCCUCUGGCUUUCCUGCUCAGAGUUGCAGAAUUAAUUCAGAGCAAGGAUUGAAGUGUAAGAAGUAGCUAGUAUUUGCUUACUCAGAGCCACCUGCACUGCACUUGUGCUUUUUAAAACAGGGAGUGUUCAUGGCCUGGGAGAUGAAACCAGGGCUAAGUGACUCCUUGUUCCUAGUCUUGGAACUUGAUUUCAGAGUGUCUGGUAAUUCAUGGGGAACAAGGCACCACACUGAAUUUCAGUUUGUGCCACCUGUUUCUAUAGGAGUUGCAGGAAAAUGAAUGACAUCUCAGUUUGUUUCCCAGUAAGUGGUUGCAUUACAGUGUCAAUCCGAUAUUAAACAGUGCUUGUUUCUCUUCAUCUGUAUAGCAUGGUUAUGAGCCUGCUGAAAAUGACUUAAUAUUAUGCCAUCCCUAGCACUUCCUAUGUGCUUAUAAAGCACAUAUUUGCAUAUAAACAGUUUGGAUCAGUGGUUUAUUAAAGACUGGAAAUAAUACGUUUGGACGUCUUUUUCCAGGGUACUUGAAAGUUGCUUAGUGGAUGUAAUCUUCGGGCAAGAAAGACCUUCCAGUUGCUGCUGGAUUUAAUAGCCUUCUGAAGAAUGCUUCGGUAACGAACUAUAGAGUUCUGAUUCAUCUUCAUCAUGCUUGAACAAAACUUUCUUGGUAAAAACUUUCAGAAGCGCUUCAGUAGCUUGUUUGCUUGAAAAUUCUGCCUUUUUUCACCAGCUAUUCCUUAACUAAUGGCUAGGAAACUUUUUGUUCUCAUCUUGUGAAACAUGCCGUGUCUUUGCACAUCCUGAGUGUCAAGUUCAAAGAACAACUCACCUCAGCCUACCUCAGCACGGUUUGAAUCAGUUAUCCACUACAUAAACCAGUAAAAAUAGUGUUCUAGUUCCUGCAGCUGUGAUCUAUGGAGGACAAGAUAUUAAGUACCACGUACUUUAUUAUUUAUAAAUGUAACGUAAAAUGGGGUGCACAUGCAGAUGCAGAGCCUGCUAUAAAUCCUACAAAUUUAUCCAGAUUCAUAAUGUAUCUGAAGUGGUAGAUUAGAUUUUUAUUUUUUAUUUUUUUAGAAGGAAGGGUUGUGGUUUUAGUAGAAACUUGAUGACGAAUCCAGCCAGCCCAGCCUGCCUUCCACCUCUUCUCUCUAUGGUCAGGGUUUUCUUCCAUCAUGACCUUUAGUUCUUGGAUCCAAGCAAGAAAGAGCUCCUGUAGAUUCUGAAGAUGUGACCCAAUUCUGUGUUGUAUGCUAUUUGCUGCCUGAGCUUGUGGAGUUUGAUGGAUCUGAGUCACAGGAUCUUAAUUUUGAGGUAAGAACCUAAGCUGGUAGCCAUGUAGAGAAAUUGCUAAAAGGGUGUUUAUUGUGCCUCCGUAGUAAGGAGUUGCACAGCGGUACUCAUUGGUGUGCUUCCAGCUUAGCUGCCUUUGUGCUCCUCAGCCUGCUGGCAUUUAAUUUUAUAAUUAAUGACCUUGCAAGAAGAGUAAAUCGGGGGUUUUUUGAUACUAAGUUUUUCCUAAAUAAGUCUGCUAUACAGUUACUUUUAUGUGAAUGAUUAAAAAGGGGCUACUAUACAUAAAUCUGAAAUGGAAUUUAUCUAUUGAUAUCUUAUCCGUAAGGUAUGGUUGCCUUAAUCCAGAACAGGAGCCUCCAUCUGGCAAGGGGGGCCGCGCUGUUGUGGGAUUUUGUCUGAAAUGAAGUCAGUCUCAUUUUAGUUGAAUGGUGAUGUAGUUAAACGAGCUGGUAAAAAAGUUUUCCUGAAUGCAAGCUUAAAUUGUUAUGGGAAAUCUUUACUGAACUCUUGCUCAGUGUUUCAUUCUCUCAAAAUUACCAAAAUAACUACUUUGUUAGAUAAUCUAUUUUUCUAUUCAAAGCUUGUAAUACUCAAUAGCAUCUAAGAGACUGAGCGGCUCCUUGUAUCAGGUUAGGUGUCCAACUUGUUGAUACUGCAGUAGGUUUGGUUGUUUUUACCCUAAUAAAAUGCUGAUCAUUUUUUGAUGUAUGAUUUUUGAAGUUUCGCAGUUCACAAUGACUCAAAAAUGCAAGGCAGAUUAAAUCAUGUGCUGGGAUCAGAUUCACCAUGUGUCAUAAAUGCACACGCUUUCUUACUUAGUGAAAGCUCUUUUGUGUGCUGCUUGACCGACACAAUAGCAGCUUAGAUUCUUUUGUAGGAAAGAAGGUGCUGAUGCCUAAAGUAAGCAAGCGGUGGUAAAAAUAAAUUAUACUCAUUUUAGCUUCAGGCUAAGAACUUUAUAAAAUUAAUGUCAGGUUCUCUUGCUGGAUUAAUGUAAACUGCUUUGUUUGCAGGGUUUAUUGUCAUCCCAAAACCAGGCCAAUUCUCCAAGUGGAACUGUAGUAUAGCCAUCACACUACUGCUAGCAAAUCUCUGAACGCAGGACAAGAAGUAAUGACAGUGGAACCAGGAGCUGUUCUUCAGGCAAAGAGCAUCACAAAUUAUAAUGUGGCAGAGUGUAAACAUGGAAUUAUGUGAAUCACAUAGUAAUUUGCAAAGGAAUAAUGUAAUGGGUUCUUACUACAGCUAAUACUGCUAGGCUGCUCACCCAAGGAAGAGUUUUCAUUAUUUUUUUUUUUAAAAAAAAAGCUUCCUUUGGUGCUGCAGGAAAAAAUAGUAACAUUUUUGGUUUUCUUUAUACUUUUCAAGUUCAGUGUAAUUUAAUCUCUCUAUAUAAAUAAUAUAAAUAGAAGAUAUAUAUAUAUAUAGUGUAAAAUAAAGUAUGUUUCUUAAAUUCAAGUAAGUUCAAUGGUUAAACUAGUACUUCACCAUUGUUUAUUUUGCACUGAUCUUUUUAACCAGAGAUGACUAGAAGACAGCCUGGAAUGCACUCAUGGAAAAUGAAAGUGAUUACUUUCUGGCUUCAAAAUGUUAUUCAGGAAGAUGGAUGCUGCAAUCAUAGAUUUUUAAAACAGAAUUGUUUUGCACUUGAAUAGUUUAAUGCUAAUAGAAAUUACUUUAAAAUUGGUGUCCAAACACCAGAAAAACUAUGUUGUGGAAAAAAAGAUCCUUUGUAUCUAUUAAACAUUUAUUUUAAUAUUGUUGUUUCCAACUGCAAUCAGCUCUGUAUUAUAUGUAUAAAUAAUGUAAUUCAGUGAUGGGGGAGGGGAGUAAUGGGUCAUGACACUAGAAAUUCUCAUUCAUUUAAGGAAGUGAUAUUUCUAAUUCAGAAAAUACAUAUUAAACUCUCUUGAAUAUGCAUUUGUUUACUUUCUGUUCAGAUUCAAUCACUUUUGAUGUAAUCUAAUCCUUUGUUGAAUUAAAUGUUUGGUACAGAAAUACCA